GACGUAGGGCGCGAGCGUUGUCCGGAUUUAUUGGGCGUAAAGAGCUCGUAGGCGGCUUGUCGCGUCGAAUGUGAAAACUCGGGGCUCAACCCCGCGCUUGCAUUCGAUACGGGCAGGCUCGAGUUCGGUAGGGGAGACUGGAAUUCCUGGUGUAGCGGUGAAAUGCGCAGAUAUCAGGAGGAACACCGGUGGCGAAGGCGGG
rnacentral:rRNA from 1 species